UACGGGGGGAGCAAGCGUUGUUCGGAUUUACUGGGCGUAAAGGGCGCGUAGGCGGCGUGACAAGUCACUUGUGAAAUCUCCGGGCUUAACUCGGAACGGUCAAGUGAUACUGUCGUGCUAGAGUACAGAAGGGGCAACUGGAAUUCUCGGUGUAGCGGUGAAAUGCGUAGAUAUCGAGAGGAACACCUGCGGCGAAGGCGGGUUGCUGGGCUGAUACUGACGCUGAGGCGCGAAAGCAUGGGUAGCAAACAGG
rnacentral:rRNA from 1 species